rnacentral:misc_RNA from 1 species
GGGAAGGAUGGCAGCAGAAGUUGCUAUGUCUAAGAAACAUUUUGAGGGAAAAGAUUAAGAUCAAGGCUCCAUUUGUUUCACCAAAGUGGAAAAUGUUUUUCCAAGAAAAAUAUUUUAUGAGAAAAUAAAUUAUUGUCCAUUGUUUGACUGCAAUGUUGAAAAAACAAAGGAAAUUUAUUUUCUACUUUUGGAGUCCUCCUGAAAAUGUUAAUUUUCUUUCAAUUUAUGCUACAAAAAUGUUGGGAGUAUUAAAAACAUCAUUGUUUACCCUUUAUUGUUAAACAUGAGAUAAAAAUACCUAAAAAUGGUCAAUUGUGGCAAUCAUCACCUGUAGCUGAUGAUCGGUGGUGGCCACUGGUGGUCAAAGAUAAUCGGUAGUGGCCUGUAGACUAAUAGGUAUUUGUUUAUGUAAUGC